GGCCACGCCCCCGCGUGGCAACGCCCCGCCCGCAGCCGGGAUGGCGGCCGGGGGCGCCGCAGCUCCCCUGCGCGGAGCCCUGCGGGCGGUACCUGGCGCUACAGCUCGGCUGCGGGCGGGCAGAGCGAGGCGGUGCGUGGGGGCCCUCGGGAGUGAAGGUGGCGCCUCCCCUCGGUCGUGCGUGCUCUGAAAGCAGCUCUUCGGAAACAUCCGUGGUUCUCCCUUUAUAUCCCGUGUUUGAGCAGAGUGCUGGAGCUGUCAUCCCAAGGCAGUAUAGGAAAGAGCAAAGAGCCAGGGCGGGAAUCAAAAGCAGAGGACUUGUUGCUAAUGUUACAGCUUUAGGCCGGAAACUGGCAAUUUUUAAUAAAAUACCUAGAUCUCGCCUGCUUAAAUGUUCUGGCUUGCAAAUUGGAGCAGGUGCAGAACGCAGGCGCUGGAGAUCUCAUCCCGAUUAGGCCAAACCAGAAAGCAUACACGAGCAGCUCACCAAAGAUAAAUUAUCAUGCAACGAUUUUUAGGAAACUUUAUGCAGUUACUGUGACUUUACUACACCUUGCGUUAUGUAGAGUGGGUUUUUUCAGCUUUUGAAGAUGUGAAUACUUGAAACUUUUUGCUUUAAUUUGGAAGAAGAAAUUCCUAACCCAUAAAGAUUGAAACUGUCUUGUACGUUAGAAGGGCUUUCUUCAUGUGUCUGAACAUUCUUAAUUUCAUCUGAAGACCCUCUGAACAGGCCAUGUUUUUUCUGGAACUGUAGUAUUUCAGAUGAAAAAACAUGUUCCAGGACCAGUGUUUCCUAGUGACCAUGCUUCUCCCUGUCUGUGGAAUAAUGAAAUACAGAGAUUGAUGUGUACAUACUUCUAUCUCUAUCUUUUUCCUGAGGAUCCAGCUUUAUAAAUGAAAACCUUAGUAGACUAAAAUAAAAUAAAAUAAAAUAAAAUAAAAUAAAAUAGAAGAAACAAGUUCAAAAUCUGUUUCUUACAUAGUUGAAAGGAUCAAUAAAGAUAUGAUUUAAUGUUUUAA